rnacentral:pre_miRNA from 1 species
UGACUCUUCGUAUUAUUUGAUUUUUUAUGAUUAAUAUUUUUAUUGUUACUAGAUGAUAAAACAUGAAUGCUACUUUAUACAUGACUAAUUUUUUUUAAGGUUUUGUAUAAAUUUUUUAAAUAAGACGGAUGGUCA